rnacentral:rRNA from 1 species
GACGAACGCUGGCGGCGUGCUUAACACAUGCAAGUCGAACGGAAAGGCCCUACUUUUGUGGGGUGCUCGAGUGGCGAACGGGUGAGUAACACGUGAGUAACCUGCCCUUGACUUUGGGAUAACUUCAGGAAACUGGAGCUAAUACCGUAUAGCAUCUCCUGCUGCAUGGUGGGGGUUGGAUAUUUUCGGCGGUUGGGGAUGGACUCGCGGCUUAUCAGCUUGUUGGUGGGGUAGUGGCUGACCCAGGCUUUGACGGGUAGCCGGCCUGAGAGGGUGAACGGCCACAUUGGGACUGAGAUACGGCCCAGACUCCUACGGGAGGCAGCAGUGGGGAAUAUUGCACAAUGGGCGGAAGCCUGAGGCAGCAACGCCGCGUGCGGGAUGACGGCCUUCGGGUUGUAAACCGCUUUCGCCUGUGACGAAGCGUGAGUGACGGUAAUGGGUAAAGAAGCACCGGCUAACUACGUG